UGGGGAAUAUUGCACAAUGGGCGCAAGCCUGAUGCAGCGACGCCGCGUGCGGGAUGGAGGCCUUCGGGUUGUAAACCGCUUUUAUAGGGGGGCAAGCUAUGCCUGUGUGGUGUGGUGAGUGGACUUUAUGAAUAAGCACCGGCUAACUACGUGCCAGCAGCCGCGGUAAUACGUAGGGUGCAAGCGUUGUCCGGAUUUAUUGGGCGUAAAGGGCUCGUAGGCGGUUUGUUGCGUCUGGUGUGAAAGCUUACUGCUUAACGGUAGGUUGCGCUGGAUACGGGCAGGCUUGAGUGCAGUAGGGGAGACUGGAAUUCUCGGUGUAACGGUGGAAUGUGUAGAUAUCGGGAAGAACACCUAUGGCGAAGGCAGGUCUCUGGGCUGUUACUGACGCUGAGGAGCGAAAGCGUGGGGAGCGAACAGGAUUANAUACCCUGGUAGUCCAUGCUGUAAACGGUGGACGCUGGAUGUGGGGCCCAUUUCCACGGGUUCUGUGUCGGAGCUAACGCGUUAAGCGUCCCGCCUGGGGAGUACGGCCGCAAGGUUA
rnacentral:rRNA from 1 species